AACAGAGGACCUCUGAAGAAAUCUACAACAGGAGGCCAGGGAACUGCAGCUUCCUCAAAUCAGGAGUUGAACUAUGCAGAUGUCAGGUUUUUCCCAAAGAGAAAUGAUGGGAGAGUUCAGAUGGGGGUACAGAGUGAAUCCUCAAAUUAUGCUCAGGUUCAAGCGAACAGCAGGGCUCCUGCAGCAUCCUCCCUCCCUACAUAUGAUGCUCACAUGCACCACGUGAAGAGGCCCGCCCCUCAGCCUGAUCCUAAUGCUGCAGAAACCUAUGCUCAGGUUCGCGUACGCUGAGUGUAAUGGAUCUGAUAGAUUCAUAUCCAAGCCGGCCAGAAGCAGUCAAUCUCACUCCAUUUAUUGUGGGCUAGCUUGGACUUGAACUCGUGAGUCAAAGCACUUUAAAAGUAGUCAAUAAUCAACCAGCUCUGAAGUUUAUUGCCAUGGUAACAAUGUUUCCUUAUUACUUUGAGUAAACUGCAUAUCAUAGUGUUCCUGUUCUUAUGUUCAGCAUUUUCUUUGUACAGUGCAAAGUGCAGUUAUCUGAGCAGUGAUAUUCUUUUUAUUUGAUUCAGAUAUUUAUCUGUCACUUUUGUCAUAAUAUAUUAUCAUGUGAUUUCAUACAAGAUUUGUGGCCAAUAGUGAAGUAGUAAUUUUUUAAAAGCAACACUCCUGGAUGCUACUUGAUGAUCAGUGUGACAAUUCAUUACUUCAUUAUCUUAGUGAACUGUAAAGGUGCAGCAAUUUAAAGAUUUAAAUGAAAUCUGCUUUAUCGUCCCUGCAAACGAAAGGUCAGCAGUGACAAUAACUAAUAAUGCUUCUGUUUAAAAUCAUUUGAAUGACUCCAGACUUUCAAACAUUUUCUGGUGCUAUUGGGCAGGUUUGGGGAAAUCAUCCAUUGCACACUAGACAAUAAUGUGGAUAACAUUUCAGAAUAAUACUACAUCUUUUUUUUUUUUUUUACUUA